GGCGGGCGGACAAAGGCGGGCGCGCCGCGGAGCCGCAGGUCCCGGGCCUCGGCCGACGCCCCCCCUUCCCUUCCCUUCCCGCCCCGCGCCGGGGCUGCCCUCCUGCUGCUGCGGCCCGCGGAGCCCGGGAGCACCGGGCCCCGGCCGCUCGUCGCGUGGCUCGGCUCCUUGCGGCUUCCUAGAAUUUCCUCGGGAGCGUCCCUUUCUUCCCUCUGCAGCCAAUCAGUGUUGCCCUUGACCACCGUCCUCACCUAUUUCUCCCUUCGCGGACGCUCCUCCUCGAGCCCCCCCGGCCCGCGCCGGCCUCACCCCGGGGGCGCCGCGUUGCCCGGCGCCGGCCGCUCCACCUGCCGCGGAGCCCGGGUUCUCCCGCGCGCGCCCCAGCGGCGACCGAGGCCUCCCCGGUCCGAAUCUAGCUGCCUUGCGGCGAAGCGGCUUCGCCCUGACUCGUGCUUUGGCCCACCCGACGGGUUGCUUUAAAGCCAUAAAGACUCCCCGGUCUUCAAGAAAACCUCGGAAAACCGUGAAUCUGGGAAGGUGUCCUCACCGUCGUGCUCGUUUGGCCAGUUUAAGGCCCGUGCGAGUUCCUUGAACUCUUGCAACAGCCGUCCUGCAGUCCACGCCCCGGGAGGAUUCUGGCCCGCGAUCCAUCGAUCUUAGGUGAGCCAGCUCCUGCCGCUCACAUCUCAGUUUCCGGGCUCGUGCUCUGCAUCAGGCACUGCUGGCUUGAUGGCUAAUGCUUAUAGAAAUGCUUAUAGAGGGGACCCAGCACUCCUGUGGUUUCUUAAAGCAGAUGAAAAUUCACAUAUCAGCCAGCCUUUUUUUUUUUUCUUUGAGAGAGAGAUUUUCCCUAUCAAUGAUUGGAAAUCAAUCCGUGGUUAAUCAUCAGCAUCCUCAGCAUCGCAUUCUGCUUCUGUCUGACCAAACAUCAUCCUCGGAUUCAACCCACUUUUGUCUCUCUCCUUCUGGAACCCUGGGACUUUCUGGAGGAAAAACUACUCACGUAGGUAGACUUUUGCCAUAACUUCUGGUCUCUAGCAUCAGCUAUGUGUUUAAUGUCACUUGACGAUUCUCCUUGUUUGUCCUAAUGCCACCUCUCCAUCGUUUUGUUCAGCAAAUUUUCUACUUUCC
rnacentral:lncRNA from 1 species